GGGAUCCAGGGUCUGAAAGACAGCACUGAUCACCUCCACCAUGGCCUGGAGUUGUCUCCUCAUCGUUCUCACUCUUUUCUCAGGUUCCCUCUCUCAGCCUGUGUUGACUCAGCCACCAUCGGCAUCUUCCUCUCUGGGAAAAUCAGUCCAACUUACCUGCACCCUGAGCAGUGGCUACAGUAAUUAUGCUGUGGGCUGGUACCAGCAGAGCCCUGGGAAAAGCCCCCGGUUUGUGUUCCUAGUGGGCCCUAAUGGCAUUAUAGGAUCCAAGGGAGACGGGAUCCCUGAUCGAUACUCAGGCUCAGGCUCUGGGCUGGAUCGGUACCUGAACAUCCAAAAUGUCCAAGAUGAUGAUGAGGGCAUCUAUUUCUGUGGGGCAGGCCACAGCAGUGGGAGCAGCUAUAUUGGCGAUGGAACUCGGCUCACCAUCAUAGGUCAGCCCCAGGCUAAGCCCACGCUCACGCUGUUCCCACCUUCCCCUGAGGAACAAAGCUCUAACAAGGCCACAGUGGUAUGUUUGAUAAGUGACUUCUAUCCAGGUGCUGUGACAGUGGCCUGGAAGGCUGACGGCACAGCUGUCAACCAGGGUAUAGAGACCACGCAGCCCUCCAAACAGAACAACAGCAAGUACAUGGCUAGUAGCUACCUGACACUGACAGCGAACGAGUGGAAAUCUGGAAAAACAUACACCUGCCAGGUCACUCACGAAGGGAACAAGGUGGAGAAGAGUGUGUCUGCUGCAGAGUGUUCCUAGGUUCCCCAACCCUCAUCCCAUCUACAGAUGGGACCAGCAGUACACCCAAGUACCCCUUCCCUGCCCCAGCCCUAAUCCCUGCACUCAUCAAAUACUCAAUAAAAUAUUUUCAAUCAUA